rnacentral:misc_RNA from 1 species
GCUUCUGCUAAUAGGUACCUUCAGCAAUAAAAGUACAAUAAACUAUAAUAUGACCACAAAUAAAAAUUACAUCAGGAGAAUCAGAAAAACAGGUCUUAAAUAAAAUUUAACUGGGGAAGUUUUAUGAAUACCCUAUUGUCAACCAAUCCAUGUACUCCUAGAUUCAAUCAUCUUGAAGCUUCUAACUAAUACUAAGGACAAUAUAGAAGUCAAUAAACAUGGCUUCAAAGACCAUACCUAGUUACCUACAUCAUAAAUUGGACAUGGAACAUAAUUAGAACGUAAGAUAUGUAGCAAAAUUCUCCAUCAUAAAUUAACCAUUAAUGAUCCAUAUUCUAAAUUUCUGCUGCAGAAGGAUAUCAAACAAUUGGAACUUCUAAAAACAUGAAAACAGCCUGCUUAAAACCACAACUUCUAAGAAUGUAUAAAGUCAUCAAACUGGUUAGCAAUUUUCAUUUAACU